AGAGUUUGAUCAUGGCUCAGAUUGAACGCUGGCGGCAUGCCUUACACAUGCAAGUCGAACGGCAGCACGGGAGCUUGCUCCUGGUGGCGAGUGGCGAACGGGUGAGUAAUGCAUCGGAACGUGCCCUGAAGUGGGGGAUAACGUAGCGAAAGUUACGCUAAUACCGCAUAUUCUGUGAGCAGGAAAGCAGGGGAUCUUCGGACCUUGCGCUUUUGGAGCGGCCGAUGUCGGAUUAGCUAGUUGGUGGGGUAAAGGCCCACCAAGGCGACGAUCCGUAGCGGGUCUGAGAGGAUGAUCCGCCACACUGGAACUGAGACACGGUCCAGACUCCUACGGGAGGCAGCAGUGGGGAAUUUUGGACAAUGGGCGCAAGCCUGAUCCAGCCAUGCCGCGUGAGUGAAGAAGGCCUUCGGGUUGUAAAGCUCUUUCGGUGGGGAAGAAAUUGCUUGGGUUAAUACCCUGUGUGGAUGACGGUACCGGAAUAAGAAGCACCGGCUAACUACGUG
rnacentral:rRNA from 1 species